GGUCACCAUGGCGACCAGGCGCCUUGGGGUGGGGGAGACGCUGGGGGCCCUCAACGCGGCCCUGGGGCCAGGCGGUCCGGUGUGGAUCAAGGAGACGCGCACCCGCCACCUGCGUUCCCGAGACUUUCUGGCACCGCACCGCGCGCUGCAGGCGCGCUUCGAUGACGGCCAGGUUCCGGAGCAUUUGCUCCAUGGCCUCGCCUGCGUGCAGGGCCCCGGUGUGGCCCCGGUGCUGCGCUGCGCGCCGACCCCCGCGGGUCUGUCUCUCCAACUGCAGCGGUCCGCCGUCUUCGAGCGCGUCCUCAGCGCCGUGGCCGCCUAUGCCACGCCCGCCUCGCCUGCCUCGCUGGGCCAGCGCGUCUUACUACACUGCCCAGCACUGCGCAGCUCCCCCUGCGCACUCCGCUUGAGCCAGCUGCGUACGGUGCUCGUGGCCGAUCACCUGGCGCGAGCCCUGCGCGCUCACGGGGUGUGCGUGCGCCUAGUGCCAGCUGUGCGGGAUCCGCACAUGCUGACCUUCCUGCAGCAACUGCGGGUGGACUGGCCCGCUGCCUCGGAGAGAGCUUCCUCCCACACCCUGAGGAGCCACGCCCUUGAAGAACUUACCUCUGCUAAUGACGGGAGGACACUGUCCCCUGGCAUCCUAGGCAGACUGUGUCUGAAGGAGCUGGUGGAAGAACAGGGCCGCACAGCUGGCUAUGACCCCAACCUGGACAACUGUCUGGUGACUGAGGAUCUCCUCUCUGUGCUGGCUGAGCUGCAAGAGGCUCUAUGGCAUUGGCCCGAGGACAGCCACCCAGGCCUGGUUAGUGACUCCCAGCCCUGUAGGUUCUCCCAAACCAAGUAUACUGUACUUCCACAGUUAUGAUUGUCCUCCCUUAGGCUGGGGCCUCAGAUACCGGUACAGGCGGCUGCCUGGUUGUACAUGUUGUUAGCUGUGAGGAGGAGUUCCAGCAACAGAAGUUGGACCUGCUUUGGCAGAAGUUGGUUGACAAGGCUCCACUCAGACAGAAGCACCUGAUCUGUGGCCCUGUGAAAGUAGCUGGUGCACCUGGCACUCUGAUGACUGCCCCUGAGUACUACGAGUUCCGGCAUGCCCAGGUGUGCAAGGCCUCAGCACUGAAGCAUGGUGGGGAUCUGGCACAAGACCCAGCCUGGACAGAGAUCUUUGGUGUUCUCUCUGUGGCCACCAUCAAGUUUGAGAUGCUGAGCACAGCCCCACAGAGUCAGCUCUUCCUGGCUCUGGCUGACAGCAGUAUCUCCACGAAGGGCACAAAGAGUGGCACCUUUGUCAUGUAUAAUUGUGCCCGUCUUGCCACACUCUUUGAGAGUUACAAGUGUAGUAUGGAACAAGGUCUGUACCCCACUUUUCCUCCUGUGAGCAGUCUGGACUUCUCACUGCUACAUGAUGAGGUGAGUGUCCCUCCUGGUAGCUGGCACAAGGAGGCCUGGACUUCCCCUCCCAGCACCUUUCUCCCCCACAGGGUGAGUGGUUGUUGCUCUUCAACAGUAUCCUCCCCUUUCCGGAUCUGCUGAGCCGGACAGCAGUGCUGGACUGCACAGCCCCGGGGCUCCACAUUGCUGUACGCACAGAGAUGAUAUGCAAGUUCCUGGUACAGCUCAGCAUGGAUUUCAGCUCCUACUACAACCGGGUACACAUCCUGGGGGAGCCUCGACCACACCUCUUUGGUCAGAUGUUCGUCCGCCUGCAGCUUCUGAGAGCUGUGCGUGAGGUGCUCCAUACUGGCCUGGCUAUGCUGGGUCUCCCUCCACUGAGCCACAUCUAAGGCCACAGAGG
rnacentral:sRNA from 1 species